GAUCAUGGCUCAGGAUGAACGCUGGCGGCGUGCUUAACACAUGCAAGUCGAACGAAGCACUUAAGAUUGAUUCUUCGGAUGAAGUCUUUUGUGACUGGGUGGCGGACGGGUGAGUAACGCGUGGGUAACCUGCCUCAUACAGGGGGAUAACAGUUAGAAAUGACUGCUAAUACCGCAUAAGCGCACAGGGUCGCAUGACCUGGUGUGGAAAACUCCGGUGGUAUGAGAUGGACCCG
rnacentral:rRNA from 1 species